UGGCCCGGCUGAGGAUCCUCUCCCUAUGAAUGCGCGGUUUGUCCGGUAAAGAUUCGGCCCUUUGUGAAAGCCCUAAUUGCAAAAAAAAAAAAAAAAAAAGUGAAACGCAUGAAAGCCAGUAAUUAAUAUCGAGCCAAAUAUUUCCAGAGCUGCCCACUCCUUCCUGUUUCUAUUUGAACGAGCAAGGUAAGCAGAGGGAGAAGGGAGUGGAAAAGUGGGAAAAGGGGCUUUA